rnacentral:rRNA from 1 species
GGCUCAGAUUGAACGCUGGCGGAAUGCUUUACACAUGCAAGUCGAACGGCAGCAUAGAGAGCUUGCUCUCUGAUGGCGAGUGGCGAACGGGUGAGUAACAUAUCGGAACGUGCCUAGUAAUGGGGAACAACUAAUCGAAAGAUUAGCUAAUACCGCAUACGACCUACGGGUGAAAGCAGGGGAUCUUCGGACCUUGCGUUAUUAGAGCGGCCGAUAUCUGAUUAGGUAGUUGGUAGGGUAAAGGCCUACCAAGCCAACGAUCAGUAGCUGGUCUGAGAGGACGAUCAGCCACACUGGAACUGAGACACGGUCCAGACUCCUACGGGAGGCAGCAGUGGGGAAUUUUGGACAAUGGGGGCAACCCUGAUCCAGCCAUUCCGCGUGAGUGAAGAAGGCCUUCGGGUUGUAAAGCUCUUUCGCAAGAGAAGAAAUCUUAUCGUCUAAUAAACGAUAAGGAUGAC